UUAUUACUCCCUCCGUCCAACAAAAGAUGUCUCAAGUUUGUCAAAAUUUGGAUGUAUCUAGACAUGACUUAGUGUAUAGAUGCAUUCAAAUUUAGUCAAAGUUGAGACAUCCUUUGUUGGACGGAGGAAGUACUAU
rnacentral:pre_miRNA from 1 species